CUUGCCAGUAGCUCCGCCAGGUUCCUCUCGCGGGAUUCUGAGGGUUGCCGUGGCAACUCUCAGAUCUCGCGAGAGUGAACUCUAGCCCCGCCGGCUAGAGUUCACUCUCCACUGUACCACCAGGGAUGGAAGCAGCAGAAAGGAUCCCCUCUCGCAGGCAUAAGGUAGGAAGGGAGGGGGGAUAUUUACUAAACGGCCCCCACACAAUACACACAAUCACCCAAACAUACAGCACCCUUACACACACAGCACCCUCACACAUACACACACACAGCACCCUCACACACACAGCACCCUUACACACACAGCACCCUCACACAUACACACACACAGCACCCCCACACAUACACACACACAGCACCCUAACACACACACUAACAGCACCUUCACACACAUAGCACCCUUACACACACAGCACCAUCACACAUACAUACUAACAGCACCCUCACACACACAGCACCCUCACACAUACAGAACCCUCACACAUACAGCACCCUCACACACACACUAACAGCAC